rnacentral:rRNA from 1 species
CUGGGGAGUACGCCGGCAACGGGGAAACUCAAAGGAAUUGACGGGGGCCCGCACAAGCGGAGGAACAUGUGGUUUAAUUCGAUGAUACGCGAGGAACCUUACCCGGGCUCAAACGACGGAUGGAUGUCUCUGAAAGGAGGCAGUCCUACGGGACAUCCGUCGAGGUGCUGCAUGGUUGUCGUCAGCUCGUGCCGUGAGGUGUCGGCUUAAGUGCCAUAACGAGCGCAACCCCCAUCGCCAGUUACCAGCAAGUAAAGUUGGGGACUCUGGCGAGACUGCCGGCGCAAGCUGUGAGGAAGGCGGGGAUGACGUCAAAUCAGCACGGCCCUUACGUCCGGGGCGACACACGUGUUACAAUGGCAGGUACAGAGAGAAGCGAUGCGGCGACGCAGAGCGGAACUUCAAAGCCUGUCUCAGUUCGGAUUGGAGUCUGCAACCCGACUCCAUGAAGCUGGAUUCGCUAGUAAUCGCGCAUCAGCCACGGCGCGGUGAAUACGUUCCCGGGCCUUGUACACACCGCCCGUCAAGCCAUGGAAGCCGGGAGUGCCUGAAGUGUGCAACCGCAAGGAGCGCCCUAAGGUAAAACCGGUGACUGGGGCUAAGUCGUAACAAGGUAACCGU